rnacentral:misc_RNA from 1 species
CAAUAAAUGGUUUUUUUUUAUAAUUCAUAAAAAAAAAAAAAAAUCCUUUACCACCUUGUGUGCAGUGUAUGAGAAAAGGGGGCCAUUUGGCUUCUUUUUUUCUAUAUCAUCAACUCUUUGCUUUGAACCCAGUUUGUCUGAAAUUAAACAUAUUCUUUGAAUAACUUAAUUCAAAAAUA